rnacentral:ribozyme from 14 species
UCAAAAAUACACUGGCUUUUGUUAGAAAAGGAAAGAAACAAAACAAAAAACAAGAAGAAGAUAAAACAACUAGUGCUUUUUUCCUUUUUUACGUUGUUUU